UCCUCCUUAGCUCAGUUGGUAGAGCAUGCGGCUGUUAACCGCAGGGUCGUAGGUUCGAGCCCUACAGGGGGAG
rnacentral:tRNA from 1 species